rnacentral:rRNA from 1 species
UACGUAGGGGGCAAGCGUUGUCCGGAUUUAUUGGGCGUAAAGAGCGUGUAGGCGGCCAGGUAGGUCCGUUGUGAAAACUCGAGGCUCAACCUCGAGACGUCGAUGGAAACCAUCUGGCUAGAGUCCGGAAGAGGAGAGUGGAAUUCCUGGUGUAGCGGUGAAAUGCGCAGAUAUCAGGAGGAACACCGGUGGCGAAGGCAGGUCUCUGGGCAUUAACUGACGCUGAGGAGCGAAAGCAUGGGGAGCGAACAGG